GGCACCAGGACUCCGACGGAGCCUGCUUGUAAACAGCCCCGGAGCUGCUGCUUCUACAGGCCCUCCGCAGACACAGGGCCCUCUCCAACCGGCACUGCUCAACCUCUCCCCGCGCUAGAAGCUUCAGCUCAACCAGAAGAGACGUUACACUGCACCGCGGCCCCACCGAUCCCCUCUGCUGCCCCUACUCCGGCCAGGCCCCCUCACCCUUCGUCCUCCUAGUGAGGAAAUGGGGAAGUCCUCACUUACCUGUCAUUACUUUCUACGCCAUCUUGGAUCCACUUGUCAACGUCCUUACAAAGCAUUAUGGGUAAAAAGUCUCUUCUCCCUUCUCUUCCUCCACCCCCCCCCCGCCUCUCCGGACAGAGAGCGAAGAAAGUUGAACCAGCCGGCAGAGGGUAGUUGUCCUUCUGCAGAGACCCAUUUGCUCGCCCAACCGGAGGAAGAGCUGUAGGAGGCAUGAGAGAGAAGGCAAGAUGGUUGGCACUGUAUAGCUCUGGGAAUACUGAGGUGCCUAGCUCUUGCAAGGUUUUUUAAAUGACUUUUUUUUGUUGCUGUUGGAAGAAAAGUAAAAUAAUUGGGUCGGCGCCACCCCAUCCCAUAAGCAGCCUUGUUGAGCAAAACAAGAGACUGGAAAGAGCAAUGACUGUGGGGCCAAACAUAGAUAACGAAAAUAAAUAACUGACAAAACCGGAGACUUCAUUCUGUUUUGGCAGCACUUUUUUCUUUUUCAAAAAUUGAAGAUACCUCUGUGUGUGAUAAUUUGGUUGGUCCUAAUACAGUGGAAGGUUCCAGUGGCAUGUCCAAGUCACAUCCUGGCUGUAAGGGGAUAUUUUCUGAGAUCUUUCAACAGCUACCCUAGGAUUUUUGAAUAUCAUUCCUAUCCUUUCAUUUAUUGGACCAUUUAAUAAUAGUGCCAUAUCCAUGUGAAUGCCAUUGGCAGGGG